CCACAGUUAGUUUAAAUAGAAAUGAAUUCUGAGUUAAUCAGAUAUUCAUAUUUUCUAUGCUAACAUUUUGGUAUAUUAAAAUUUUUUUCAGCCCUAAUUUAUUAAAAGAAGAAUGAAUAAAAGAAGCAAGACAAAAUUAUAUAUAUAUAUAUAUAAUAUAUAUAUAUAUAUAUAUAUGUGUAUAAAAUCAUAUAUAUUUUUAUAUACAAAACAUAUGAAAUUAUUAAUUUCAUAUCAUGAAUAAUGUGUACACCAUCGAUAUUGAUGAUGUAUGCACAAAUGCAUUGAAAUAGAGUAAAAUGUAUUUUAAAAUGAUAAUAUUUGAAAAUAGGCCAAACAAAGAAGAAAUAUCGUUCUUACAUAAAAUAUUAAAAAAAUAUGUAUUAGAGAACGAAGAUUCUUUUUCAUAAUACGUAAGGCAACAUAUGCGCAUGUGUGCAUUGCAAAAUAUAAAUUAUUAUUAUUUUAUUAAUAAUAAUUGAUGAUAAUGCUAAAAAUGAAUGAUAAUAAUAAUCCCAAACAAUGAACGGCGGAAUUGUUAUUGGGGAAAAAAAAAAAGUAGUCAUCAAUGAAAACUAAUUUUGCAUAAUGCAGUUAAGUGUGCUGUUUUUUCGUAUUAUGAUAUUUUCAAAUAUAUAUAGAAAAUAUCAUAUUCUCUCAUAUAUAUAAUACAAAAUUUUAUUAUAUAUAUGUAAAAAAGAAUUAUAUU
rnacentral:misc_RNA from 1 species